CUAGUUGAUUUUAUAAUUCUGUAAUACAGCCCUUGUCUUGUGGCAACACACAAAACCAAGCAGGAGUCAGGGCAGGGUUCCAGAAUCAUGGUGUUCUAAAUGUCAGUAUGGGGAAUGGAACUGAGAGAUGUAGCUAACAAAGAACUGUGAAAACGAGUGGUGAGCACAAACCUCAAGAUCAUGGUUUUCUGUUUAGGGCUUGAUCCUCUUCUGUCCUCAAUAGAGACAUGACGAUCCAGAGGUGAUGGGAGGAGAUUACCUCACUAGUUGUCUGCAAGUAUUUUCCUUUAAGCAAUCUCUGAACUCAGCUUUCACAGUGCAGAACACAGAUGUCCUUCCAAGUUCUUAAACUCAGGGAAAGAAUGAGUUAAAAAUUGAUUACUACAUUAUCCCACCACUACUCAGAAUUCUGU